rnacentral:tRNA from 1 species
GUUUUAAUAGUUUAAAUAAAAUAAUGAUCUUGUAAAUCAUAGAUAGUGUAAACUUUAAAACU